rnacentral:rRNA from 1 species
AGUGAACGCUGGCGGUAGGCUUAACACAUGCAAGUCGAACGGCAGCACAGUAAGAGCUUGCUCUUACGGGUGGCGAGUGGCGGACGGGUGAGGAAUACAUCGGAAUCUACUUUUUCGUAGGGGAUAACGUAGGGAAACUUACGCUAAUAACGCAUACGACCUACGGGUGAAAGCAGGGGAUCUUCGGACCUUGCGCGAUUGAAUGAGCCGCUGUCGGAUUAGCUAGUUGGCGGGGUAAAGGCCCACCAAGGCGACGAUCCGUAGCUGGUCUGAGAGGAUGAUCAGCCACACUGGAGCUGAGACACGGUCAAGACUCCUACGAGAGGCAGCAGUGGGGAAUAUUGGACAGUGGGCGCAAGCCUGAUCCAGCCAUACCGAGUGGGUGAAGAAGGCCUUCGGGUUGUAAAGCCCUUUUGUUGGGAAAGAAAAGCAGCAGGUUAAUACCCCGCUGUCCUGACGGUACCCAAAGAAUAAGCACCGGCUAACUUCGUG